ACAGGCUAAUGUGUGAAGAAUUCCUGUUUCAAUAACUACUUGAUUACUCACUUACUCAAUCGCAAGUAGAACAACAGAACACAAAGUUGAGUGCCAGAGAUAACAGCUACAACAGACUACACCCAAACAGUGCUCUAAGCCAGACUUCAAGAGUCAAAGGCCACAGCGCUUAGACGGAGGCUGAAAUGCCUAACCAGACAC